UUCAUGAAUAUUAUCUGAUUCUUUUCUGAUUAUUUUUUGGAUGAUAUUUUGAAUUUUUUUUUUCACCAACCAUCAUCCCACUGGUUCCCUAUGAAGAUCACUCCAUUUGUUUUCCUGGCAAGAUAGUAGAAAGCAAGAUAUGUGGCAAACACAGGUUUCCUUCCCCCCUUAUCACAUUUGAUAAUCUUUGUAAUCAAUCAUUCCUUUGAAUAUUUCUUGAAUAUUUUCAUGAAUAUUUUCGUGAAUAUUUUUGGAUAUUUUUUUGAAUAUUUUUUGAAUAUUUUUUGAAUAUUCUUUGAAUAUUUUUUGAAUAUUUUUUGAAUAUUUUUUGAAUAUUUUUUGAAUAUUUUUUGAAUAUUCUUUGAAUAUUUUUUAUUUCACCAACCAUCAUCACACUGGUUCCCUAUGAAGAUCACUCCUUUUGUUUUCCUGGUAAUAUUGUAGAACGCAAGAUAUGUGGCAAACACAGGUUUCCUUCCCCCCUUAUCACAUAUAAUAAUCUUUGUAAUCAAUCAUUCCUUUGAAUAUUUCUUGAAUAUUUCCGUGAAUAUUUCCGUGAAUAUUUUUUGAUUAUUUUUUGAAUAUUUUUUAUUUCACCAACCAUCAUCACACUGGUUCCCUAUGAAGAUCACUCCUUUUGUUUUCCUGGCAAUAUUGUAGAACGCAAGAUAUGUAGCAAACACAGGUUUCCUUCCCCCCUUAUCACAUUUGAUAAUCAUUGUAAUCAAUCAUUCCUUUGAAUAUUUCUUGAAUAUUUUCAUGAAUAUUUCCGUUAUAUUUCCGUGAAUAUUUUUUGAUUAUUUUUUAUUUCACCAACCAUCAUCACACUGGUUCCCUAUGAAGAUCACUCCUUUUGUUUUCCUGGCAAUAUUGUAGAAACGCAAGAUAUGUAGCAAACACAUGUUUCUUUCCCCCCUUAUCACAUUUGAUAAUCUUUGUAAUCAAUCAUUCCUUUGUAUAUUUCUUGAAUAUUUUCAUGAAUAUUUCCGUGAAUAUUUCUGUGAAUAUUUUUUGAUUAUUUUUUGAAUAUUUUUUAUUUCACCAACCAUCAUCACACUGGUUCCCUAUGAAGAUCACUCCUUUUGUUUUCCUGGCAAUAUUGUAGAACGCAAGAUAUGUGGCAAACACAUGUUUCCUUCCCCCCUUAUCACAUUUGAUAAUCUUUGUAAUCAAUCAUUCCUUUGAAUAUUUCUUGAAUAUUUUCAUGAAUAUUUCCGUGAAUAUUUCCGUGAAUAUUUUUUUGAUUAUUUUUUGAAUAUUUUUUAUUUCACCAACCAUCAUCACACUGGUUCCCUAUGAAGAUCACUCCUUUGGUUUUCCUGGCAAUUUUGUAGAACGCAAGAUAUGCGGAAAACACAGGUUUCCUCCCCCCCUUAUCACAUUUGAUAAUCUUUGUAAUCAAUCAUUCCUUUGAAUAUUUCUUGAAUAUUUUCGUGAAUAUUUCCGUGAAUAUUUUUUGAUUAUUUUUUUGAUUAUUUUUUGAAUAUUUUUUAUUUCGCCAACCAUCAUCACACUGGUUCCCUAUGAAGAUCACUCCUUUUGUUUUCCCGGCAAUUUUGUAGAACGCAAGAUAUGUGGCAAACACAGGUUUCCUUCCCCCCUUAUCAUAUUUGAUAAUCUUGGUAAACAAUCAUUCCUUUAAAUAUUUAAAGAAUAAUAACAUGAAUAUUUCCGUGAAUAUUUCCGUGAAUAUUUUUUGAUUAUUUUUUGAAUAUU
ensembl:lncRNA